rnacentral:rRNA from 1 species
UACGUAGGGUGCAAGCGUUGUCCGGAAUUAUUGGGCGUAAAGAGCUCGUAGGCGGUCUGUCGCGUCGGCUGUGAAAACUCGGGGCUCAACCCCGAGCCUGCAGUCGAUACGGGCAGACUAGAGUGCUGUAGGGGAGACUGGAAUUCCUGGUGUAGCGGUGAAAUGCGCAGAUAUCAGGAGGAACACCGAUGGCGAAGGCAGAUCUCUGGGCCGUAACUGACGCUGAGGAGACGAAAGCGUGGGGAGCGAACAGG